AGCUCGUAGUAGAGGCUCGGGCUCCGGCCGACCAGUCCGCCUUACCGCGUGCACUGGUUCGGCCGGGCCUUCACCUUCUGCGGAACCGCAUCCCCUUCACUGGGGGUGUCGGGGAAACAGGACGUUUACUGUGAAAAAAUUAGAGUGCUCCAGGCAGGCCUAUGCUCGAGUAGAUUAGCAUGGAAUAAUGGAAUAGGACGUGUGGUCUUAUUUCGUUGGUUUCUAGGACCGCCGUAAUGAUUAAUAGGGACAGUCGGGGGCAUCAGUAUUCAAUCGUCAGAGGUGAAAUUCUUGGAUCGAUUGAAGACUAACUACUGCGAAAGCAUUUGCCAAGGAUGUUUUCAUUUAUCAGGAACGAAAGUUAGGGGAUCGAAGACGAUCAGAUACCGUCGUAGUCUUAACCAUAAACUAUGCCGACUAGGGAUCGGACGGUGUUAUUUCUUGACCCGUUCGGCA
rnacentral:rRNA from 1 species